rnacentral:pre_miRNA from 1 species
CUUUUUACGGUUAAACAUCAACAUUUUAGACAAGUCUCCUAUUUUUAGGGUCUGAUGUCAUUUUUUGACAUGUCUCCUAUUUUUAGGGACU